rnacentral:lncRNA from 1 species
GAGCUCAUUGAUCAUCAUAACAGAGUCUAUUGAAAGUCCUCAGCAGGCGGUGUGACGAUGUGACCAGCUCUGGCCAAGGAGCUGUAGGCAGAAGUGUCUUGCAGCAGCUCCUGUAAAUCUUAAAAGACAGCUGGUGCGUGUCUUUUUUCCUUUUUUUUUCCCUUCCCCCUUCCUGCUGCGCUGAAUAUGGAUAUGGUGAGUGAAUCUAGAGCAGCCAUUUGGAGGUAUGAAGAGAUCUUGGAAAUAGAGGCCAUGUGUGUUGAAACAAGACCGAACAACUCCAAGUUCCUGAAGACUUCAUUUCACCAACCCAGAACCUCCUUGAUCAUCACAGUGUUCAAAUGGUUUCCAGCAACAUUCCUACCACCUACUUUGCUGACACAAAGGUGCAUAAACAGAAGUCCUAUGUGGUCGAACCAUUUUACAUUUUCACCAGCAAUGAAGGAGGGUUCCUGUUGCUCUACCAUUUGGUACUGUCAGCGUUUUGGAUAUUAGCCGUCCUAAUAGCCUUUGCAUGGAUGAUUGUCUGUCCUCUGUUGGGCCCCUUCUGAAGAGUUGGAGUUGGACUCUGAAUACCUCAAGAGUGGGAGAUUGGUCUUGCCAAUCAGAGAAGCUCCAGGGCUAGCCUAGUGCCUGGCACAUGCUUUAUACAAUUAUUCCCAAAUCUUCUAAACUGACAGUGAGGGAGAGUAAUUUGAAAGGACUGCUCAACUCAACGUCAUUUGAAGAUUUGCACCACAGCUGCAUUUUUCCAAUUUCCUGGCAUCUAUUCUGCUCUCCUGGACUUUUCAAAAACAAUUUCUUUCAGAUCCCUGGAGGCCUCUCCCAGGGCCUGUGGUGUGGAGAGUUGGACUUGACCCUACUGUAAGAGACCCAACUUCCAAAGACUGCAUCAGAUGAAAGGCUCUCCAUAUAGACUACAGACUUGUCAGCUGGUUAAGGAGGCAAACAGAACAGUCUGCUACAAACUCCAGUCCAUGUAUCUGUGCUGAAAAUAAAAGGAGUCUUCAGGAAUCAAAGAAGAAAAUAUUUUUAUAAAGAAAUUUUAUUGCAUAAUUCUUGUAUACAAUAAACAUAGGAAAAGGGUUUUUAAUGAAAAUUCAUGUCAUUUUUCA